rnacentral:rRNA from 1 species
GACGAACGCUGGCGGCGUGCUUAACACAUGCAAGUCGAACGAAGUGGCGAACGGGUGAGUAACGCGUAAUCAACCUGCCCUUCAGAGGGGGACAACAGUUGGAAACGACUGCUAAUACCGCAUACUGAAGGAGGGGAUUGCGUCGGAUUAGCUAGUUGGGGGGGUAACGGCCCACCAAGGCGAAGGUCAGUAGCCGGUCUGAGAGGAGGACAGGCCACAUUGGGAUUGGGACACGGCCCAGACCCCUAAGGGAGGCAGCAGUGGGGAAUCUUCCGCAAUGGGCGAAAGUCUGACGGAGCAACGCCGCGUGAGUGAUGACGGCCUUCGGGUUGUAAAGCUCUGUUAAUCGGGACGCGGUACCGGAAUAGAAAGCCACGGCUAACUACGUGCCAGCCGCCGCGGUAAUAC